AGACCUCUACGCCAACUGGCAGAGCGGGCUGACUUAAAUUCAACCGGAUGCGGGUUCGAAUCCCGCGAGGUCUA
rnacentral:tRNA from 1 species